rnacentral:tRNA from 1 species
CGCGGGGUGGAGCAGUUUGGUAGCUCGUUGGGCUCAUAACCCAAAGGUCGUAGGUUCAAAUCCUACCCCCGCUACUA